rnacentral:rRNA from 1 species
AUUGAACGCUGGCGGCAGGCCUAACACAUGCAAGUCGAGCGGAUGAAGGGAGCUUGCUCCUGGAUUCAGCGGCGGACGGGUGAGUAAUGCCUAGGAAUCUGCCUGGUAGUGUGGGAUAACGUCCGGAAACGGGCGCUAAUACCGCAUACGUCCUGAGGGAGAAAGGGGGGGAUCUUCGGACCUCACGCUAUCAGGUGAGCCUAGGUCGGAUUAGCUAGUUGGUGGGGUAAAGGCCUACCAAGGCGACGAUCCGUAACUGGUCUGAGAGGAUGAUCAGUCACACUGGAACUGAGACACGGUCCAGACUCCUACGGGAGGCAGCAGUGGGGAAUAUUGGACAAUGGGCGAAAGCCUGAUCCAGCCAUGCCGCGUGUGUGAAGAAGGUCUUCGGAUUGUAAAGCACUUUAAGUUGGGAGGAAGGGCAGCAAGUUAAUACCUUGCUGUUUUGACGUUACCAACAGAAUAAGCACCGGCUAACUUCGUG